AGCACAAAACCAGUUCCUCAGGUGUUCUUUCCCCAAGGCAUGGCUCUUUUCGCAUCAAAACCCACUGAAGGCAGAAUGUGAAAUCCAGAGCAGCAGGAGCUUACUCAUGGAGCAGCACGCACCAUGGUGACAGGGCAGAAAAGGAAGAGAAAUGCAAGUUCAUGGCAGCCCUGACCUUUGUGGCACACCUGGCCGUGGCUGUGCCUGGGAAGGUUCACCCUUCCCAGCUGGAGCUGGUCCCAGCACAGGGAACUGGUU